UUUUAAGACUUUUGCUUUGUAUUUGUCUUAUAAAAUGUGUUGUAGUCCUUAAACACUAAUUCACAUUUUACUUUAUCUCCUUAAGGUUAAUGUGAGAAAUGGUAUGAGUUUACAAGAUUGCCUCAUCAAAGCAUUAAAAGUUCGAGGUCUUCAGCCAGAAUGUUGUGCGGUUUUCAAACAUCAGGAACAAAAGGGCAAGAAAGUACGUUUGGAUUGGAAUACAGAUGCAGCUUCGCUAAUUGGUGCAGAGCUACAGGUGGAUUUCUUGGAUCAUGUUCCACUUACAACUCAUAAUUUUGUAGGUUCAUUUUUCUUUAAUAUGUAAAGUUUUUCACUCCAAGAAUUGAAACAUCCUGCCCUGUACUUGUGAACUUUGGUUUGUAGUGUUUUGCCUAAGUACACACUUUAAAGGACCACUCAAUGCAGCAGAAUUACAUAAUUAACAAGUACAUAAUAAAAAGACAAUGCAAUAGCACUUACACUGAA